UGUUAAUGAUGAAACUCAUGCGUGUCAACUGACUCUGUGAACGCCGGCUGUGUUGGCGCUCUUGUCGGCGUUCUGUUGGCUCGAGUUGUCGGCACAGCGGGGGUCCAGAGACGUGAUCAUAACUUGUUCUGAAUACA
ensembl:snoRNA small nucleolar RNA SNORD10